rnacentral:snRNA from 1 species
GGAUGUGAGGCGAUCUGGCUGCGACAUCUAUCACUGCAUUGAUCUCCAGGGUUGAUUCGGCUGAUCUGGCUGGCUAGGUGGGUGUCCCCUUCCUCUGUCACCAAUCCAUGUGCAUCCCUCCCAAAGCUGUGAGCUUGGUUGAAGAUGAUGACUUUCUCUGCUAGAGGAGAGACAGUUCUUCAGCCAAGUGUUUAUGAGUACUGCGCUCCCUGCUAGAACCUCUAAGCAAGCUCUCAAUAGAUGAGUGGAUAAACAAAAUGUGGUAUGCUCAUACAAUGAAAUAUUAUUCAGCCAUAAAAAGGAAAGGAGUUCUGAUACAUGCUAU